AUAGCAGAAAACUGCCUUCUUACUUUAUACCCGUAUUUGGCUUUUCACCGCUUUGAUCAACAAGUUAUCUUCAAAAGCAACAGUAAUGAGAGAGACCACUGUAGUGGGGAAGCUGUUUUGCAUCCAUGUUGUACUCCACAAUCACUUUCCUUUAGUACUUCCUCAGGUUCCUUUGGUGCAAUCACUACUUCAACUUGCGAAGAUUCCAAAUCAGAAUCGGAUACUAUUCUUGAAAAUGAAAGUAUAAAGAUGAAUGAAGCUAACAGCCAAAGUGAUGGGAG